AUACAGAGGGUGCGAGCGUUAAUCGGAAUUACUGGGCGUAAAGCGCGCGUAGGCGGCUUGGUCAGUCGGAUGUGAAAGCCCCGGGCUCAACCUGGGAAUUGCAUUCGAUACUGCCAGGCUAGAGUACGGUAGAGGGAGGUAGAAUUCCACGUGUAGCGGUGAAAUGCGUAGAGAUGUGGAGGAAUACCAGUGGCGAAGGCGGCCUCCUGGAUCGAUACUGACGCUGAGGUGCGAAAGCGUGGGGAGCAAACAGGAUUAGAUACCCUAGUAGUCC
rnacentral:rRNA from 1 species